rnacentral:lncRNA from 1 species
AUGGUCUGCAAGGCUGUGUGUUUGAGUUCACCCACCUCGAUUCAGGCUGUGGCUCAGGAGGACAGAGUACGUACUGCAGGAUUACACAUUUGGCUAGCUAUACAGGAAAACGAUGAUGGAGAAGGAGAGCCAGCUCCUGUGCACACCAUCGGUACAGCUGUUGAGGCAAGCAGAUGCAAGCCAACAUACCUCUCAUUCCGCCUGGCAAAGGAAAACGAAAGUAAAGGUGAUGGCAGCCAGGAAGCAGGUAAUAUUUUUGCUGUCCUGGUCAAAACAGCAAGAUGCUCAGACAGUAUUUAUGGCUUUCUUUUCUAGGGCUUCAGAAAAAGUUAUGGCCACCUGAGCUUUUUAGGACUGAUUUCCCCUUUGAGAUGUGUUUCAUGGACAGGAACAAGAGCCACAAGACAGGGUGUCUUCAAAGUGUCCAGACAGGAUGAUAGGCAUAUAUAGGCAAAACUGGAGGUGCAGGCAGAGAAAACGCACAGGAUCUGUUAAAGAUCAACCUUAUAUGCCUAACUUCUCACUGCCCUAAGGUGGCUCUGCUUCUAACAUUGGUCUUACAGUGCUCUCUGCUGGGGAAUGAGAACUAGAGGAAAGCACAGCUGCAAUUAUUCUUUAGUCCAGAAGGUAGACAAGCGUUCCAAGCUAAGGAAUGAUGUACAAAUUUAGCUUAUAUGUUGCUCCAGGAAAUUUAUACCUCCUCUGGCCUACUAGCAUCAAUUCGGCUGAACUGUGCUCCAGGAAUAAGUUUCUAGCCAAUGCAGAAAUACAUGGCAGAAAUGUCUGGAGCCUCAUGUGCUCGAUACAGCUGCCAGUAACAUGUAGCUGUUAAGUUGGGUGGCAAUGGUCCCCAGGUAAACAGGCUUCACUUGCAGCUUUGCACACAUUCAAGCCGCUCAGUCAAGGCACCUAGCCAGAACUGUAUUAACAGACUCCUUAAUGAGCUUGGCAAGACAAUUAGAUUAGUGUCUUUUACUGCUUCCACUUUGCUGCUGGCAAUGGUAAAUAGGGUAAGAGUGAAUUUCACAAAGACAGUUUACCACCAAGUAAAAUGGAAAACCAUAAGCUGUCAUUCACCUAGAUAGACUAGCAAAGACCCUGCUAAAUUCGGGUCUGGUGAUGGAAGAAUACUUUUACCACCAUAAUUUAUAUCAUUUUCAGAAGCUGAUAAUGAUGUCCUGGAAGAAAAAAAAAAAAUAAAAAAUCUGUGCUCCUAAAUGGUACUUCCA